UGUGUGUGUGUGUGCUGUAUGUGUGUAGGUGCUGUGUAUGUCUGUGUGUGCUGUAUGUGUGGGUGUGUGUGCUGUAUGUGUGUGUGCUGUAUGUGUGUAGGUGCUGUGUAUGUCUGUGUGUGCUGUAUGUGUGUAGGUGCUGUGUAUGUCUUUGGGUGCUGUAUGUGUGUAGGUGCUGUGUAUGUCUGUGGGUGCUGUAUGUGUGUGGGUGCUGU